ACAACCAGAGAGUCAUAGUAAUUGUGUCAGAAACGAUCAAGAAAACCAAGGUCUUGAUAAAGAGAAUAUGGCUGAAAUUUAGGACUAUCAAAACUUGUUUGGUUUGAUGAAACAGAGGUUUCUGAGUUUCAAGAACCAAAAAUAUAUAAAAGAGUUGGAGCAUUUUCAAGCCCAUGCUGAAGCUCAAUUUCCAAAGAUAUAAAAACUGGGGGGACUAAAAGCAAAAAAUUGUAAAAAAAAGAAGAAAAAAGAACUCAGCAUCAGGCCUAGCCCAACAUCUCGCUCAACGCAAAGCACGUGCUAAGCGCGAAGGAAGCAGACGCACUAAGCGCGCAACACGCGCUAAGCAUGCAAACCAGAACAAUGGCGUUGAGCGAGAGCAGCUCGCUAGGCACGAGAUCUAGCACGCGUUGAGCGAGAGGAGCGUGCUAAGUAAGCUUACGAUGGCCCAAGUCCACUAUAGCAGCUAUAAAUAGAAAGCCAGACCAAUGGGAAACGACACACCGAGUCUCAGGGAAUUCUCACUACUACCUAAAGCCUGAAAACUCUUCCUUAGGAAAUUCUCUUCUCUCUUCCACCAUUUUCUCCAUUUCUUUCUUUCACCCCUUUUCUUCUAUCAGUUCUUAUACCUCAUUCAGUGUAAAGCCCUCAAUGAUCAUGAGAGGCUAAAUCCCUAGUUAGGGCCUGACAGGCCUAAAAAGCCAAAACAAUGUAUGAUUUACUCUUCACUAUCCACCAAU